rnacentral:lncRNA from 1 species
CUGCCCUGUAAGUCAGGGAGCAUCUGUGUCCCGGAGUCCCAGGCCCUUUUCGAUGGCGGCAGUGGCCGGGGGUCCCCUGUAAGCAGGGAAGCUGACUCUUUGGCUGCUGCUUUUUGUGUGCCCAGCCCCAUUUGCCCAGUCUGCCCGCCUCUGUGAUCCCCCGCAGCACUGGCUGGAAGUCCGCCGCGUGUCAGUGAGGAGCUGCUGCUGAAGGAAGAAGAGGAAGCGGCGUGGGGACCUGGGAGGCACACGUCUUUUAGAAGAGUAAACUGUUGACUGUUAAUCUUACAGUUCUGACUGUGAUGUUUUUUUUUUGCGUUUCAGUUCAAAUUUGUGUGCUGGGCUUCAUUGCUUUUCUUUGGGAACGUCCACUCAGAAUGUUUUUUAUUAUUUUUUUCGUCUUCUUGUGAUGUUCUCUCUUAUUCUUUUGUGUGUUUUGAAUUUUGUUAGUAUUUCUUCUCAUUUAACUUCUUGUCUUUUAUUUGUUCAAUUUCCCGCCUACUGUAAUCUUCCUUGAGGAAGCAUGUUUCUUCCCCUUAACCAGGACAUGCUUCUAUUAUUUUAGUAUAAUUGGUUGUUAAUUCAUGUUAAUCGUUGUUUUCUUGUGCUCUUAUGUUUGUUUAUUGGUGUGUUGUGUCUUUUGAUGGUUUCGAACUGACUGCAUUGAAGUUGAAAUAAAUACAAGCUUU